CAAGCUUGCUUGGGAGUUCUGUUAGUGGCAUACGGGUGAGUAACACGUGGGAAUCUACCCAGUAGUAUGGAAUAACAGUUGGAAACGACUGAUAAUACCAUAUACGCCCUGAGGGGGAAAGAUUUAUUGCUAUUGGAUGAGCCCGCGUUAGAUUAGGUAGUUGGUGGGGUAAUGGCCUACCAAGCCUACGAUCUAUAGCUGGUCUGAGAGGAUGAUCAGCCACACUGGGACUGAGACACGGCCCAGACUCC
rnacentral:rRNA from 1 species